UACAGCCAUAUCACAGUGAAACACCUGUUCUCAUCCAAUCACCAAAGUUAAGCAAUGCCAAUUCUGGUCAGUACCUAAAUGGGUGACUGCUUGGGAAUACCAGAUGCUGUAA